CAAGGGGCGAAAACUGAUGGCAGGGUUAAGUGGGCUCGCAACCUCUCGCCAACCGAAGCAGCCCCCUUCAUGACCAAGGCCUGGAUCGAUGGACAGCAGUGGCUUCCGAAGCAGCCCGCUUCAUGACCAAGCCUUGGAUCGGUGGACAGCAGUGGCUUCGGUAGAAAACUGUCGGUGGUGUGGGUUGUCAUAUAUACCUGACACAUAUCUGUGUUAUUUGAAGGAUACAAGUUAAAGGAAAAUACAUGGAUGAAUCCAGAAACAUAUGAACCCACUUAAAAAAACACAUUUCUAAACACAAAAAAUUCUAAAAAAAA
rnacentral:lncRNA from 1 species